UACGAGGGGGGCGAGCGUUGUUCGGAAUUAUUGGGCGUAAAGGGUAGGUAGGUGGUCUUAUUUGUCUGGGGUGAAAGCCUUGAGCUUAACUCAAGAAGUGCCUCAGAAACGGUAAGACUGGAGUCCUGGAGAGGGUCGUGGAAUUCCCGGUGUAGCGGUGAAAUGCGUAGAGAUCGGGAGGAACACCAGAGGCGAAAGCGGCGACCUGGACAGGCACUGACACUCAACUACGAAAGCGUGGGGAGCAAACAGG
rnacentral:rRNA from 1 species